AGAGUUUGAUCCUGGCUCAGGAUAAACGCUGGCGGCGUGCCUAACACAUGCAAGUCGAACGCCCUGUUUCGGCAGGGAGUGGCGGACGGGUGAGGAACACGUGGGUGAUCUACCUUGAGGUGAGGAAUACCGGCGAGAAAUCGCCGACAAUACCGCAUAUGCUCGCGAGAGCAAAGUCGCAAGACGCCUUGAGAUGAGCC
rnacentral:rRNA from 1 species